AUUGAACGCUAGCGGGAUGCCUUACACAUGCAAGUCGAACGAGUGGCGAACGGGUGAGUAAUGUAUCGGAACGUGUCCAGUCGCGGGGGAUAAAUACGCGAAACGGAGCUAAUACCGCAUACUAUUGGAGCGGCCGAUAUCGGAUUAGCUAGUUGGUGGGGUAAAGGCUCACCAAGGCGACGAUCCGUCGCUGGUUUGGGAGGAAGACCAGCCACACUGGUACUGCGACACGGCCCAGACUCCUACGGUAGGCAGCAGUGGGGAAUUUCGGACCAUGGGGGAAACCCUGAUCCAGCCAUCCCGCGUGUGCGAUGAAGGCCUUCGGGUUGUAAAGCACUUUUGGCAGGAAAGCGGUACCUGCAGAAUAAGCACCGGCUAACUACGUGCCAGCAGCCGCGGUAAUUC
rnacentral:rRNA from 1 species